GAGCGCUCUUCAGCAACAGGUCUUCUGCGUGCGAGUGGAUGGGGCACGUUUACCAAUAACCCUCCCCAGGCUGGUGAAUGGUAACAUUGGUUUGAAGGCUGUCGUCCUGUCUGCUUUUCAGGUUUGCUGCCGUGUAAGACAAGAAGCCCCACACAAGUGAAUUCAGAGACUUGGUUUAACUUAAGUGAAGGUUUGAUCAACUCCAAACAGCAACCAAGGAGAAAAUAAAACAAGAAUCUCUACCAGCAGAGAAGUGCAAAGUGAGUCUGUUACACCUGCAGUCUUGAACCAUGCUUCAAGCUUUUCUUCACUUCUCUCCUACUAUUCUGCUGUGCAAGUGAUAACAGCAUGAAGAUCUUUCUGUUUUCUGGAAGACAAUUUGAGAGGAGACAACAAUCAAGCUGAAGUUAUUGCAGAAGAGAACCCCCUACAGCUCUCAUGGUGCAACUGACAGCUCGUAUGUAAGGAUCUACAUUAGAGAACUUGUGAUGAAGUCUAGCACUAGGUCUGGAAGGAAAGGAGACACCAUUUGGAAAGCACUACAGUUUUCCCUAUGUGAAGCUUCUGUGGUGAUUAAACAGGUCAGAGUGAAGACACCCACGCAAGAGAAACACAGAUGCUGCCAGAGAUAUGCUACACACAAGGGGAGCAUCAGAGCUGAAAUCACAUGGAUGAAGACUAAGAGAGGAGUCUUCAGAAGAUAGAUGAGCUGCAAAGACACAGUAUAUUCACUCACUCACAUGAGAUGUUCGUCCAUCUUCAGUUAUUUUGUUGUACUUCCAAGGCCAGACUGUGCAUGAUCAGCAGACUGGGUCGCUAAAUCUUUGAAGGUUAGUGGUGUCUUAGGCAUAAGUAAGUCUUUACAGCCACCAAGAUACAGUGUGUUAUUGUUUUACAAGCACUCUGAAAACAUUAAAUUCAAUAAUUUGCCAAAUCCAUUAGGUGUGUUAAUGAGAAGAAUCCAAGAAAAGGGAGAAAUGAUUCUGAGCUAAUGGAACUUGAUGGGUGAGGGUCCCACCAGUAUGUAACAGCAGUACGUAUUGGAAAGGAUUUUCUUUUCUUGCCCUAGAAUAGGCGUUAUAGAUCACAGAGAAAUACAAUUAUUUUAUACUAUUAAUCUCAGGAGCUGCAGGUGGUAAAAGUGGCUGAGACAGGUCUGAUUGUCUAACAAAUAAAACUAGCAUUAAAGCAAAGAUGAGAUACAGUUGUUAACCCAAAAUGAGAAAUACAUUUCUAUUCAUGAACUCCUUCUGUUAGAAGGGAAAACUGAACAGCAAAUCAAAGUGCUUUCCUGCAACCUCUUUGGACUCUGAUUGCUCACUGUGACGUUUCAGAGCCAAAACCCCAGCUAUCACAGUUUCAUCAUUCAGCUUCUCCACAAAACACAGCUAUUGUCAGACUUGCUUUUUAAAGCUACUGUAUUCCGAAAAAAACAGAGAAACCAACUUUCCUCCUCUUCCACGGCAACAAAAAAAUCUGUUUCUUCAACUGAAAUCUGAAAAAUUAAUUAGAAAUAGAGCAGAAACAGAUACCAUUUGCACCAAAACACGCUCCCAACCAAAAAUAUCAUGAAAAAGAACUGAAUUGCUAGUAAAAUACAGAUGUUCCUAAAGCUUUGCUUCUUCCAUGCGUCAGCAAGCACAACAGAGCAGAUUCCUAGAGAACCUUCUUUCCACACAAAAUCAAUGGAUUAAAAAGAAAUUACUAAGAGGUAGCAAUCUGUGGUCAAGCAGAGACGAUCCCUUGGUGCUUGUGGACGGAUAUUAGCUGGUGGUCAGAGUCUGGAACAGGAGGAGCAGCUAGGAGAUGUGCUGAGCUGGGGUUCAGACCUUUUGGAUCUCUGGCCCAUGACUAGAGUUGAGAGCAAGAGUUUAAAUGAUGCAUCUGUUAUGCCAUGCUUCUUUGGAAAAAGAGGUAUUAAAUUCAGGUUAGGCUCUCUAAUACAACAUAUAGACUAUAGAACUUCCGUGUUACAAAACUUCAAAAGCACGACAGAUUCUUUGGAUCAAAGGUUUAUUUUUAAUGACACAGCACUGGAAAACAUAAGUUACAGAUGACUUUUUGAUACAGGAUACAUUAUAUAUAUUAAAAGGAUCUGUGAAGGUAUGCUGCAUAAAUACAUAUAGUGAAAAUAUAUUGUGUUUAUUUCUUCUUAGAGAUUAGAUCUGUUUCUUUGUUUUCAAUCGAUUCAGCCAAUUAAAUAAAAAAGUAUAGAUUAGCGUCAUAACAGCUCCCCUCCACAUUAUCUCCUUGUAGCUACUGCAGCUGGAGGAGGAGACCGAGCCAUGCCUUCUCAAAGGUUUAGCAGCUUUGAACAUGAUGUUAUUCAUCAUCUCAGAAUGAAAAUUUCACAUUACAAACACAGAUACUGUAUCAUGUUUUGGCAAUGGAGCAGCUAGUUUUGUUCUGGAACAAAACCAUUUCCUGUAAUGCCAGACAGUGAAAGAGCAAUGCAUGUACUGGUGAUACUACACAGCCAAAGAACUACGAUGAAGUUGUGAAAAUGCAUAUAUAUCUAUAUGCACUUAUAUAUACACAUAUAAGUUCUUGUGUGUAUAUAUAUUAUGCAUGUCCAAAAAUAACAUUGAAAAACGUUGCAGCGGUUGAUUAUUCUUGUCAA